rnacentral:rRNA from 1 species
CAUUGCCUCAGUACGGCGAGUGAAGCGGCAAAAGCUCAAAUUUGAAAUCUAGCACUUUCAGUGUUCGAGUUGUAAUUUGAAGAAGGUAACUUUGGUUUUGGCUCUUGUCUAUGUUCCUUGGAACAGGACGUCACAGAGGGUGAGAAUCCCGUGCGAUGAGAUGCCCAAUUCCAUGUAAAGUGCUUUCGAAGAGUCGAGUUGUUUGGGAAUGCAGCUCUAAGUGGGUGGUAAAUUCCAUCUAAAGCUAAAUAUUGGCGAGAGACCGAUAGCGAACAAGUACAGUGAUGGAAAGAUGAAAAGAACUUUGAAAAGAGAGUGAAAAAGUACGUGAAAUUGUUGAAAGGGAAGGGCUUGAGAUCAGACUUGGUAUUUUGCGUUCCCUUCCUUUUUGGUUGGGUUCCUCGCAGUUUACUGGGCCAGCAUCGGUUUGGAUGGUAGGAUAAUGACAUUGGAAUGUAGCUUUACUUCGGUGAAGUGUUAUAGACUUUGUUGAUACUGCCUAUCUAGACCGAGGACUGCGUCUUUGACUAGGAUGCUGGCGUAAUGAUCUUAAGCCGCCCGUCUUGAAACACGGACAA